AACAGGAUUAGAUACCCUGGUAGUCCACGCCGUAAACGAUGUCGACUUGGGGGUUGUGCCCUUGAGGCGUGGCUUCCGGAGCUAACGCGUUAAGUCGACCGCCUGGGGAGUACGGCCGCAAGGUUAAAACUCAAAUGAAUUGACGGGGGCCCGCACAAGCGGUGGAGCAUGUGGUUUAAUUCGAUGCAACGCGAAGAACCUUACCUGGUCUUGACAUCCACAGAACUUUCCAGAGAUGGAUUGGUGCCUUCGGGAACUGUGAGACAGGUGCUGCAUGGCUGUCGUCAGCUCGUGUUGUGAAAUGUUGGGUUAAGUCCCGCAACGAGCGCAACCCUUAUCCUUUGUUGCCAGCGGUCCGGCCGGGAACUCAGAGGAGACUGCCAGUGAUAAACUGGAGGAAGGUGGGGAUGACGUCAAGUCAUCAUGGCCCUUACGACCAGGGCUACACACGUGCUACAAUGGCGCAUACAAAGAGAAGCGACCUCGCGAGAGCAAGCGGACCUCAUAAAGUGCGUCGUAGUCCGGAUUGGAGUCUGCAACUCGACUCCAUGAAGUCGGAAUCGCUAGUAAUCGUGGAUCAGAAUGCCACGGUGAAUACGUUCCCGGGCCUUGUACACACCGCCCGUCACACCAUGGGAGUGGGUUGCAAAAGAAGUAGGUAGCUUAACCUUCGGGAGGGCGCUUACCACUUUGUGAUUCAUGACUGGGGUGAAGUCGUAACAAGGUAACC
rnacentral:rRNA from 1 species